GAAGGUAGAGCUCAGUGGUAGAGCGUGUGCUUAGCAUGCACAAGGUCCUGGGUUCAAUCCCCAGUACCUCCA
rnacentral:tRNA from 1 species